rnacentral:ncRNA from 1 species
GGAAGCGCAGUGAAUCGAGAGGUUCAUGCUGCGUUUUACGAGGGGUUGUUGAGGAAGUUUCAAUGAUCUACUCACC